GCCAAAUUAAAUAAUUCAUUCAAAUAUAUAAGAGAGGGUAAACAAGUGCAAAGCUUCAUUUUUUUAAAAAAAAAAUCUUAUGUUUGCUCAAAAAAGAGAGUUAACUAAGCUAACAGACAAUGAUAAUCUCAAUGUUGAUAUCAAACAUAUUUGCCUGGGAGGGGAGGGUUUCCUGUCAAACAGUAAGUGAACCAAAUGAAUGUUGGAUCAUCUUUCUUGAUCGAUCAAUACGUAGAGACCAUUGUCAAAAAUUGUCACCAUAAUCGAACAGCUCAAGGCCCCGGGGCAUCAAAAGCAGCACAGUUUGAUAAAUGAACUUAUAAAUACUUCAUGGAACCAACGCGACAAAGGAUUCCCAGGAAGAAAAAGGCAUGGUAGAUGAUGCUCGUGAAACCUGACUAUAGGAAACUCUGCAUGUCAAGCUCCAAGAAGGAGCAGACAUCUGGAAUGUCAUACUCCUUGAGGACCUUAGGGUGCACAAUGCCGAAUGUUCCAAUUUGCUUUCCUCCAUAAAUAACGUUAGCCUGUCUUCCCUGAAGAAAUGCAGGCUCCUCUGAUUUUUCUAUGUAGUAGCCUGUACUGUUUCCAGGUGAUACAAAAUUAGUGCCAGUUGCUUCCAUGAUUUUGUCAACUAGACCAUGUAUUAGCUCAAAUCCUGAGUUUGCUCCACAAUACAGAGCAGCAAGGUGGCGACGGUUUACUGCGCCAACAUCUUUUGUAUCAUCUAAGAGGACUAUAUCACCAACUUCAAAAAUCUUUAUAGGCUUUGGAUGGUCCUUAUUAUGGCCCACAGUUCUCAAUAGUCCAGGCAUGAGAGAAGGCCGAACAACCUCAAAUUCAGACGUACGAGAAUCAGCAAUGGUCACAGCAGAAUUAUCCUCUUCACGGUUCAACAUGGAGAAAAUUUCUUUCUUGGAACACAAGAUCCAUGUUAACACCUCAGUAUAACCAGUCAUUGCAAUCUCUGUACGAAUAAGAUCACUGAAUUGACUGAGAGGUAAAGGAUUCAAAGAUGCAGGUUUUCUCUUUGGGAUCUCAUUGUAGCCAUAAGCAAUUGCAACAUCCUCCGCUACAUCACAUGGAUGAAGAACGUCACUUCUUGUGGGAGGAACAGAUACAACAAACUUGACUUCUUUAUCUUCUGAUACAGAUUUCUCUGCACGCAAUUGCAUUUUAUGCAACAAACUAGCCACCUUAUCCUCUGGCAAUUGAACUCCAAUGAUGCCAGUAAUGUAGGACAAAGGCACAUUCAUGUUGUAGAUUGAAAGAUCGGGACAAACAUACGAUCUUCCAUCAGGAUAUGUAACUUUAACUGGUUCAACUUCAAACUUCCGCUCACAGUACACUGAAAACAUAGUUACCAUCGUGUUCAGAACAAUGUUGGCCUUUGUCAAAUCUGUGGCUGUACAUUCUAUAAACACGUUCUUUGUUUUCAGCGAAAUGGCUGAAUGUGCACCAUUAAUGAUGGGGGGUAAAGACAAAACAGUCCUUUUACAAUCAUAUAUAACAGGGUACACGGGUGAAUUCUCGAUUAUGUGUAGAAACUUCUUCAGCUUCAAAUCCGAUUUGUAAAAUUCCAUCAGCUCAUCAGCUCUGAAGUUUUUGGUCUGCUUCAAUGGCACAAAAUUUAUUUCAGCAGGAGGCAAAGCCUCAUACGUGAAAGGUCCUUCAAUUGUAUCUAGGUCAUGGGUACC
rnacentral:misc_RNA from 1 species